GAGGGUGUAGCUCAGUGGUAGAGUGAGUGCUUAGCGUGCACGAGGUCCUGGGUUCAAUCCCCAGUCCCUCCA
rfam:Camelus ferus unplaced genomic scaffold scaffold60782, whole genome shotgun sequence.